GUGAACGCUGGCGGUAGGCCUAACACAUGCAAGUCGCACGGCAGCACAGUAAGAGCUUGCUCUUACGGGUGGCGAGUGGCGGACGGGUGAGGAAUACAUCGGAAUCUACUUUUUCGUGGGGGAUAACGUAGGGAAACUUACGCUAAUACCGCAUACGACCUACGGGUGAAAGCAGGGGAUCUUCGGACCUUGCGCGAUUGAAUGAGCCGAUGUCGGAUUAGCUAGUUGGCGGGGUAAAGGCCCACCAAGGCGACGAUCCGUAGCUGGUCUGAGAGGAUGAUCAGCCACACUGGAACUGAGACACGGUCCAGACUCCUACGGGAGGCAGCAGUGGGGAAUAUUGGACAAUGGGCGCAAGCCUGAUCCAGCCAUACCGCGUGGGUGAAGAAGGCCUUCGGGUUGUAAAGCCCUUUUGUUGGGAAAGAAAAGCAGCAGGUUAAGACCCCGCUGUUCUGACGGUACCCAAAGAAUAAGCACCGGCUAACUUCGU
rnacentral:rRNA from 1 species